ACCAACUCCGCCUCACAGAUGUCAUCAACAUUCCUACAUUGUUGAUUUUCAGUUGACCUUGCCUCAACAACUUGAUACUGGAAAAGAUGUUUGACAAGUCCGAAGCAAUGAAAGGCUCAGAAGAUGCAAUGAAGGCAACAGAGAAACUCUCUUUCAUCAAGGAUACAAAGAUAUAUGCAAAUUUUGUUGCUGCUAAGGAUACAAGUAAUCAAUUAAACAGCCAUGGUCUCAUAGAGUCAUAGAGAUGUUCAGCACAGAAACAGAUAUUUUGGUACGACUCUUUGGUCCAUGCCAACCAGAUAUCCUAAAUUAAUCUAGUCCCAUUUGCCAGCACUUGGUCUACAUUGCUCUAAACUCUUCCUAUUCAUAUACCCAUCCAGAUGCCUUUUAUAUGUUGUAAUGUUAAGCCUAACAAGGAUUUGAGGACUUUUCAAACUGCAAAUUCAUGGGGGGUUUUUGUACUAGGUACUCUUUCCUUUGUAAACUUUGCACCUGUGUUGUGUGUACA